UUAAAACUGUUUUUCUUACCUCUUUAGGGCCUUCAUCAGCGAUGUGAAAUUCAAACCAGAUCCAUCCAUUUGGAGGAGUCAGCUGCUUCCUGAACUUCAGGCCUUGAGGCAGGAGACAGCGUGUACCAUCUCCUGCCAUUCUGUUGAUAAACCUGGGAUGACUACGCCACACCCUGACAUUACAGCAUCUUGUUUUAUCUCCCUGAGAGUGCUACCAGCAAUGCCACCUCCAAGUGUAGCUGUUUCAGGUGUGGACCCUAACACUGGAUUCGUGUACCCAGCUCUGAUGCUGUCAUCCCUCUUGUGGAGUGAGUAAAAGGACUUUCCUUUGUUAUGGGAUGCUGGAUGCUGUAUGCUGUGGUUAGUUGCAC
rnacentral:lncRNA from 1 species